rnacentral:miRNA from 1 species
AAGGUGAUUGACUAUCCUGGUUUGCCUUGGACUGAGAAGGUUCCUGGGUAUUAGGACUUUCAGUGCUAAAACCAGGAAAGGC